GCCGUGCUGGUGCAGUGGUCAGCAUACUCGAUCCUGGUAACGCUUCGUUCCUUGACUUUCGCUCGCUUUUAUACAUUCUCUUGGGGAUUGGGAGGCUGCUGGUUCGAAUCCAGCUCACGGUG
rnacentral:tRNA from 1 species